UAAGUGUUUCGAAAUCGAUCUAGUUUGUGCGACGUGGCGAGGCAGGAAAACCAAAAUUCCCCUAAAGUUCUCAUUAUUUUCUGGCUAUGAGGUGGAACCAUGAGGUGGAGCUUCCUCAUAGUAGUGGUAGUAAGUGGUAGCUUGGUACUCGGGCAGGAUGCAGGAGGCAGCAUCGAAAAGGAGGCGGAAAAGAGCCCAAAAGACGAGGCUCAGGAGGCGGGUCCCAAGGCUCAGGUGAACCAGCCUUCGUCGAGGAAUUCGUCGGAUUUCCAGACUGGUGAUGGAAGAAACAAGAGCAGCAUCUCAGCUGAUGCUGCUGCAGUUACAACAACGGAAGCUCCUCAUUUGGGCCUCCACGUAGGGAACAGCAGUAUUGACAAUGUGUGCAACAUAACAGUGGAAGAUUACAGCAAAUUGACAACAUUCUAUCCCCAGCACUGCAGCAAGGAUGCAGAGCCAGAAGCACCAGAGGCUGAUGGGGGGACUGUGGACACAGAUUCCUCAAAUGAAACAGUCUCCUGCCAGUCCAGUGUUGAUCUGCCUGCUGUUGGGGCUGCUGAGCAAGAACAUUUGUCAUCGCUCUCAAUUUUCCUCAUCUUGUGUGUCUUGGCCAUGUGUGUCAUCCUGAUCUUCUUCCUCUUGAAAACCAAGUUGAAUUACUUACCUGAAAGUGUGGCUUGUGUCAUAGUAGGGGCAGUAAUUGGUUUGGUGCUGAAGAUCAUGUAUAGCCAAAACAUCGCUAACUGGCAGAAAGAGGAAGCAUUUUCACCCACAGUUUUCUUCUUGGUCAUCCUGCCUCCCAUCAUCUUUGAGUCUGGGUACAAUCUCCACAAGGGCAACUUCUUCCAGAAUAUUGGUUCCAUUGUUGUGUUUGCAGUUGUAGGAACACUCAUAUCUGCACUAGUGGUGGGAGGAGGAGUGUACUUACUGGGUCAAGCUGAUGUUGUAUAUAAACUGACUUUUGUGGAAAGUUUUGCAUUUGGCUCUCUCAUAUCAGCUGUUGAUCCUGUGGCAACUCUAGCCAUCUUCCAUGCUCUUAAUGUGGACCAAGUGUUAUACAUGUUGGUGUUUGGAGAGAGUAUUUUAAAUGAUGCAGUUUCAAUUGUACUUACUAGCACUAUCCUGGAGAUGGCUUCACCUGCUAUGGCAUCUAUGGGUUCUGGGGAAGCUCUCCUCUACACAGUAUGGCGCUUCUGUGUCAUGUUCUUUGCCUCGGCUGGUAUUGGUGUGGCUUUUGCUCUCCUCAGCGCUCUCACCCUGAAAUAUGUUCCUGUUCGGGAAUAUACGUCCCUAGAAUUGUCGAUGAUCAUAAUAUUCAUAUAUGCUCCCUACACAUUGGCUGAGGGUAUUCACUUAUCAGGUAUAAUGGCAAUUCUCUUCAAUGGGAUUGUUAUGUCCCACUACACCCACUUCAACAUGUCACCAGUCAUGCAGAUCACAAUGCAGCAUCUCAUGAGAACACUGGCUCUCAUUGCUGAGUGUACAGUGUUCAUUUACCUGGGUUUAGCACUCUUCAGCUUCAGGCAUCAGUUUCAUAUUGCACUUGUUCUGUGGAGCAUCGUGCUGUGCCUGCUUGGUCGUGCUCUAAACAUCUUCCCUUUGUCAUGGCUGGUAAACAAGUUUCGAGAUCAUCAAAUCAACUAUAAAAUGAUGUUUAUUAUGUGGUUUAGUGGCUUACGUGGAGCCAUUGCUUAUGCCUUGGCACUCCAUCUGGAAUUUAGUGAUGAAAAGCGACAUGUAAUUGUAACAACAACUCUCAUCAUUGUACUCUUUACCAUUUUCUGCCUUGGGGGUGCAACAAUGCCUGUUAUUAAGUACCUCAAGGCAGACAAGAGGCAGAAGAACAAAAGACAGAAAGAACGUGACAAGGAGCUCACAAUGAGCAAGACAAGAGAAUGGGUUGUUGUCAUUAUUGCUGAGGUUAUAAGAAAUAUUGAACCAACUUGAUAGUAUUAGCUUUUCAUCAUGGUCAUCACAUCAUCAUUGUACAUCGUGGUUGGGCAAGCUGUUGAUUCAGAGCACUUGUCAGAGUUCACAGAGGAAGAGAGUGAUACCCCUGUGGGAACUCAGGUGAGAGGAUUCCUUCGUCUGGACCUGCUGUAUCUCCGUCCAUUCCUUAUAAGGCGUGUAACUC
rnacentral:misc_RNA from 1 species